GCUCACCAGACUUCUGAUUUGAUUUUACAAAAGUUGUACAAGAGUUGUGAUUUUUGGCAGCUAAUGAAACUUUUGAUGUCCAAGGUUUUAAGUCAUUUUUUUUUUUUUUCCUUUUUCCCUCUUCAUUUUGGAAUCAAAGGUGCAAAAUGGUUAGGAAGUGAAAUACAUUACCAGGACUACUGGAGGAUGUCAGCCAAAGUAUCUCUUCUGUGUCUCAAUGGGUUCGCUGCAUUGAUAGUCUGUGCGGCUGGAAUGUAAACAAGGAGGGCUCGGCAAGCGAGGCGGAGGAAGGUGAAGAAGCAAACUCCAGAGAUUGUGCUGGGUAAUAUAGAACAGCCCUGAUAUGAUUUUAAUUAGAGCACAUGCCACAGGAUCAUUUACUCACAAAAAAAUAUUCAAGGAAUUGUGGGCUAGAAACCUCUGUUUAGAGGAAACUUUUCUGCCCUAGGCUGCUUCAAGAUGUUACUACAUUAGCUAGAUUUAAAUAAGUGUGGCUCAUUCCAGAUUCAGUGCCCCCGAGUCUUUCUGGCAUGACGGCCACUUUCUACUAAAUUCCUGUCACUAAUCAACAAGGACAUUGCUGCAAAGCAGAGCUUGGAGGAUGUUUGGGCAGGACAGAUUAAAUGAAAUGGAAUCAGAGCAGCUUGGUUCCAAAUUAAGUCUCUCUCUUUCGCUAGCUCUUGAUGCUACAGAUUGCUGCCUACUUCUGAUCUUCUAACAGCAAGUACCUUCCAUAAGUGAGGUUAACACUGCUUAAUUCAGAAGUGCAUUGAACUGAGGAGCUGAGACAUUAAAUAACCUUUCAUAAGGAUAUGGAAAGAAUUCAAGUUUCCUGCCUCCCUGCAUAAAAUAUUAUUUGUGUCACACACAGAAGUCCAAGUCAAGAGUUGCCCUGUUACUUCAGGCAUGUAAUAAGCAAUUACUUUUCUGCAGAGCUUUCCUAGAUGAGAAAAGUUAAAGGCUUCUGUUACAGGUAAACUAACUCAGGAUCAAGUGACUCAACCAAGAUCACACAAGAAUCCUGUGACAGUCUUGAGAACAGCUCUUUCCCCCUCCUCCAGCACCAUCAUUACAAAGUCAUUUUGUUUCUCUAAGACUGCAGCAAAUGAACUUAAUGAGAGUGAUCAGGGCAAUGGGAAUGAUCCCAUUAUGCUGUCAGGGCUUAGAAAAUGCUGAUUCUGAAAACAGCAGGCUAGGGAAAUGUUUAAUUUCUCAAAUCCUUCACUAACUUAGUACUUCCAAAAAACUUUCAAAUAUUUUUUCUUUUCCCUGUUCCACAAAUGAAGAUCUAUAUUACUAGGAGGUAAAGCACAUCUGGUAGAACAGGUCAUUACAAACAGAGACCCUGGACAGAGCAACGACUCACAGCAAGUACAGAGGACCUGUGAAGUAGAUCUCAUCUUUCAUCUAAGCUAAUUAAAAUAUUCUUUGGACAACCAGUUAGUAUACGAUUUUUAAAACAAUUAUUUUAACAAGGUCUUCUAAUUAUUAGUGAUGUAAUUUCUGUAAAGCACAGAGAAUUUAAAAAAACAGAAAGAAAUGGUGAUACAUGGCUAUUUCCCUGGGUCUCUCAUAUACCCAUGUAAACACAAAGCAGCUCUUUGGAGUUCUCUGAGGUCACGUUGAGGUGAAACUCAUGAGAGUGGGAUACAUACCUGCUACUGCUCUGUGCACAGUGGAAAGUAUCAUUUGUAAAUAACAACCUUGAAGUAAAAAAAAAAAAUAAAUAAAAAUACAGCCAUCA
rnacentral:lncRNA from 1 species